AGUGAACAAAUGAAGUCAUGAAACUAACAUUGAGGCUGAGAGGAGACAGAGGACAAAUGUCUUACUCUGUGGACAUUCACAACUAAAUCAACUGAUUUUCAUUCGGUCAGAGCAGAGAAACAGGAAGUAAUGAAAUACAGUCUGUAUCUGGGUUGUGAUUGGGUGAAAUCAAUCCUUGUUUCCAGUAUUGGCUGAAUGGUUGAUCAUUUAAGGCCUGAAGCUGAUAACCGACACACUGACAGUAAAACCACGAUUCAUCAAACUGUGAUUACCUUUUGUUGGGGUCAGACUUUUUUAUCCUGGUAAUAAAGACAUAAAUCUGUGAUGAUUGAAAGUGUUUUAUGAGUUUACAUUAAAUCCAUGAGAGAACAGGUAGAGCUCUACAGAUGCUGAGUCAGCAGCAUGGCCUGACGACAGAAAAGGUUUCACACCCAGGGCGUCAUCACCUCUAAAGGCAGGAUGGCUGUUGUCUACAGACUGAGCGGUUGGAGAUAAUGCAGAGAAAACUGACCAGUGGACAAGAAAGAACACCUCAGAAUGAGGAAACAGAGAACCGGCUCAGCAUGGAAACCUCCAGGAACGCCCGAGAAAAAGGACCAAACAUCUACAGCAGCAGAAGAGAAGAGCAACAGGCCAGCCUUGCAUACGGCGUUCCCCAAGGCUGUGCAGCCGGACCCGACCGGAUCCUAUAGCAGACUGAACCUCCAGACAGGAAAACCUCAAGCUAUCAUUUCCAAGUCUUCCAAUCAGCCAGAGCAGGAGGAAGGUCUGAGUUCAGAGCAACCAAAGAUCUGAACAGUCAUUUAGUUCAGUUUAUGGAUUUAAAAAAGUUACGUUUGCUAGAUUUUUUUUAUUUUUCCGUCCUACUGAAUCAAAUUGUAGUGACACAUUUAUUAAAGCGUAUGCAAAAUAGAGAAAUAUGGCUGCUCAAUUAUUGUGCCAAUGUAAUGUUAAGUUCUUCAACAGUAAUAAAAUAGUCUUAGUGUGUGAUUUGCAAAUUUAUGAAAGGUAUCAAUCUGUUGCCUUGGCACAAAGUCAUUACAGCUUCAUAACCCAAAUCCUGGAUCAGUGGGAGGCGGCGUCAGAGCAAUACCGGUAACCUCAGAGAGUAAUAAGGGAGAGUAUUGGAUGAGCUGAAGGUCAGUGGGCGGGGCCACUUCAACUCAACCAAUCAGAGAGUUUUCUGCUUCCUCAGCAGCUCUGUCUCUGAUCUUUACUGCUUCAUGUCUCUGUUGUCUUUGUCUUCAGUCCAAAGACUCAACAACCAGUGGAUCAACAGGGAGUGAGGCCCUCUAGUGGCUGCUGGGGAGUACUGCAGGUUUUAGUGGUUUAACAGGGAGUGAGGCCCUCUAGUGGCUGCUGUGGAGUACUGCAGGUUUUAGUGGUUUAACAGGGAGUGAGGCCCUCUAGUGGCUGCUGUGGAGUACUGCAGGUUUUAGUGGUUUAACAGGGAGUGAGGCCCUCUAGUGGCUGCUGUGGAGUACUGCAGGUUUUUGUACAGGGUUCUGGUGUUUCCUGUCACUGUGGGCUGCA